GUUAGGAUUUGAUUUAGGAUUUAAGGUUUGAUUAAGAUUUGGUUUAGGAUUUAAGAUUUUAUUAGGAUUUAUCUAAGAUUUGGUUUAGUAUUUAGAAUUUGAUUAGGAUUUGAUUAGGAUUUGAUUUAGGAUUUAAGAUUUUUCUAGAAUUUGAUUGAAGUCUAUUAGGAUUCAACUUGAAUUAAAUUAGAACUUAAUUGAGAUUUAUUUAAGAUAUAUUGUGAUUAUUUUAAUAUUUUUUAGAACUUCUUAAGGAUUCUUUUAAGAUUUAUUAAGGAUUAUCUUUUAACUCUUUUAAGUUUUUUUUAUUAUUUCUUUUGUAAUUUCUUUAAGAUUUCUUUUUGAAUUUAAUUAAAGCUUGUUUAGUAUUUUUAAGAUUUAAUUAGAAUUUAUUUAAUAUUCUAUUAAAAUUAUUAUAUUUUUAUUACAAUUUCCAUUCUAUCUUCUACAAUUAGGUGCCCAAUGCACUUCACAUAUUAUAACAGCGGUCAUCAGCUUUCAUGGAUCUUAGCAAUUCUUCAUCUUGGUUUUGAUAGAUGUCAUUAAUGAAAGGCAUCAAUUUUUUUUAUUGCAUUUGUAAGAUUUUUUGUUGGCUCCCAUGUACAUUUGCUAAUAUCAUAUCUACAUCAAUGACUAAGAUAUGCGAACAUAUUUUGGCACUGCCUUGAAUCUAAGACUUCUUCUACCUCAAACUCUUGAUUAUUAUUCACUUCUAUAAGAAGAGGUGGCAUUUAUCUUUGUUUUGAAAUAUUUAUUGUCUUAUACGGCUAAAGAAGGGACACAUGAAAUAUAAGGUGGAUCUUCAUAGACUCCAGUAGAUGUAAUCAAUAAGCAACAAAAUUUAUUUAUUUACAAACAUAAAAAGAUCUCAACCUACAAUAGUCUAAUUUAUCACGAGAACAAAUAGUCUUAAUAUUGCGACAAAGUAAUCAUACCUUGUCACCCACAUUGAAUUGUAGUUGCUCCUUGCAAUACGCAUCCACGUCGGUCUUUUAUUAUUCUUGAGCUUCCUUUAAUUGUGUCUUCAUUGUUGUAUAAAGCUCUGAAAUAUAAUUUGCUAAAUCAUUUGUUAUAGGAUUAUUAACUUUAAAAAAGUUAAAAAUAUCAAGUUGUGGAUGAUAACUAUAAUUGAUAAAGAAAGGUGUUUGUUGAAUAGAAGAAUAUAUCAAAUCAUUGUAUGCAAACUCUACCAAUGUCAAAAGAAUUGUCCAAUCAUCUUAAUGAUAAUUGAUGGUAUACGUCAAAUACUGUUGUAGAACUUUAUUCACAUGUUCUAUUUUCCCAUCAAUUUGAGAAUGAAAAGUCAAAGAGAGUUUUACAUUUACCUUUAGAAUCUUGAAUAGGAUUUUUUAAAAUCUUAAUAUAAAUUUAAUUCCCCUAUUUAAUAGAAUAUCCUUUGGCAAUCCAUAACAACAAUAGAUAUUGUCAAUAAAAAGCUUAUUUAUUUCUUCACCUGAACUAGAUUUUGUACAUAGUACAAAAUGAACUAUUUUGAUGAAGCAAUCUAUGAUUACGAAUAUAAAGUUAUAUGAACUUGAACUUAGAAGAUCUGUAAUAAAAUCCAUAGAAAUAAAAGACCAUGCUUGUUUGAAUACAAGCAAUGGUUGGAGAAGUCGAUAGGAUCAAUGACAAGGAACUUUUUAUCUUGAACAAACAUCACAUGACUAAUUAAAGUCUUUUAUUGCCUUCGAUAUUUGCAGCCACUAAAAAUCUUUAGAUAUAAGUUCUAAAGACUUAUUGUAUCCAAAAUUUCUUACUACUGAAAAGUCAUGAUGUACUUAAAGAACAUGUAAACGUACUUCUCUUUUUGGAAUAUAUAGUCGUCUCUCAAAAUAGAAUAGGUUUUUCUUAAACUUGAACUUAGAAACAUCAUAAGACUUAAAAGAAAGAUUCUUGAUAUCAUGAAUAAGAGGAUGAAAGGACAUACUUGAUUGAAUUUGUUUAACAAAGAUUGAAUCAACAAUCAAUGUUGAUUUCAUUGCUCAAAGAUGAAAAUACUCUAGCUUCAAGAGGAUUAUUCUUUGUUGAUCAAAAGUUACAUCUCUUUCUUUUGGUGCAAGUUAAGAUCAACUUGAAAGAACAUCUGAUAAACCUUGUUAUUUUUCACGUUGUUAUGUGAUCUUGAAAUCAAAUCUUGAUAAUGACAUGCUCCAAUAAGCUCUUUAAAGCAAAAAAUAAUGCUUUGGCUUCUUUAUUCCAUUCAAAUUUGUCUUUACAAGCUCUAUUCUUGGAAUCUUUUAAUCUAUGAUAGUUUGAACCUUCUUUGGAUCCAUCAUAAGGCCUUCAUUGGAAAUGAUGUAUCCCAAAAAGUCAACUUGAGUAGUGUGGAAUACAUACUUUUCUAUCUUUGCAUACAAUCCUACAUCUCUUAGUUUUUAUAAUACACGAUGAAUAUGAACUUCAUGCUCUUUUAUAUUCUUAAAAUAUAUUAAAAUUCCGUCUAAAUAAUAAAUGAUAAAAUCAUCAAGAAACUCAUGAAAGACAUCAUUCAUUAGAUGUUAAAAAGUAGCUUGUGUAAUUAUAAGUCCAAAAAGUAUGACAUUAUAUUCAAAAUGUCCAUACCUAGUUUGAAAAGUAGUCUUCCAUUCAUCUCUUUCUUUAAUGCAGAUCAAGUUAUAUGCUCUUUGUAGAUUUAUUUUUGUAUAGAUCUUUACUUGAUUUAAUUCAUCAAGAAAACUUAAAAUCAAAGGUAGAAGAUACAUAUUGUUGAUGGUGAUCUUAUUAAGUCCUCGACAAUCUACACACAUCCAUAGAGAUCUAUCUUUUUUCUUUAUAAAUAAGAUAGGAUUGUCGGUUGGAGAUUUAAAAUGGCAUAUAAAAUAGUUAGCCAAAUUUUUAUCAAUGUACUCUUUGAGAGCAGCUAAUUCAUUUUGUGAUAAGCUAUAGGAUUUGGUCUAAAUGGUAGUUGAGUUCCUUCUUGAAGAUCAAUAGUACAAUCAUAAAGACAAUACUCUAGAAAAAUAUCUAUAUUCUUUUUUUCAAAAAUAUCUUAAAAAUCUUGAUACUGGCUAAGAAAAUCACUUGAUAUCUUCUCACCAUGAGCAAUAGAGGAGGCAUAUAUAGCAAAUGAUGGUCCUUCAUCUAUGGCAUGCAUGAAAGCUCUUGCACCUAUCAAUAAAGGUUUGGAUAUACUAGACUUAUACAUUUCUACUUGUCUAGUAGGACCUUAGACUAAACUAUGGCAGAAAUCAAGAUUGCAAGAAAUUGAAUCUAUCUAAGAAUUAUAUCUUUCUAACUAUGAUAAUCUUAAAAUGAUUGAGUUAGAAGGAGAUUUAAUCACAUUAAAUAUUAGUAAACUAUUAUGACUACUAGUUGCUACUUCUACAAAAAUAGUUUUAUGUGUAAUAUCUCUAGAAGAUAAUAAACGUCCAUCUAUUACUUCUACAUGCUCAGGCUUGAUUUUCUUAAUUAAAGAUUUAUCUUAUUUUUUAACAAAGUCUUCAUAUAUAAAACAAGUUGAGGCUUUUGAAUCCAGCAAGGCUAAGAAUUUUUAAUUUUUUGAUUCUAAAUAAACUUAUAUUAUAAAAAAAGGUGAAGGAUCAAAGGAGAGAAUAUGACUUUUAUUAGAUGUUGUAUAUGAUUCCAGCCAUAUGGUCCCUAUUGUAGUUGGAGGAACUCAUUUUUUGAUACAUUGUAUUCUUUGACAAUUGUGCUUUUCAUUUUAUAAUUACGUUGUUUCUUUGGACAAUGUUAAGCAAUAUGUUUAGCUUCUUUACAAUAUAAGCAUAAGUCCAUCAUUGACUCUUUUCUUGCUUUGUGAGGGAUUGAAAAUAUAUCAUAUCAAUUUAUAUUAAUUCUAGCUUUAAUAUAUAAGUUUUUGAAAACUUAGGAGCUAUUGAUAUUAUUUGAUUUAUUCUUCUCCAACCAUAUCUUUGUUCUAGACGUCUUUCAAAUAAUUGAUCAUCACAUGCAAUGGCUUGAGCAAUAAAUUAUUCCAAAGAUUUUGUCUUUAACAUUGUCAGUAACAAGUCUUUGACAUUAACCUUCAACUUAUAUCGAAAUUCAUUGAUAAGGGCUUUGUCAUUCUAGUCCACGUCGCAAGCGAGGUUUUAGAAUCUACCAACAUAUAUGGUGGCUGAGUAUGAUCCUUGUUAUAAGGAUAAGAACUUGGUCUCUGCUACUCUUUCUUGAUCACUUUUUCCAAAUGUGGUUGUAAACACUUUUAAAAAUAAAUUCAAAUCAUAAAGAAAUUAUAAUUUUUUUUUCCAUUAGAAAGUAUAAACUAAGAAAGAGUACUUGAUAGAAAUGCAUCUAUAAAUCUGACUUCAAUAAAUCCAUUGGGAUAUUGAAAAGGAUGCAAUCUUAAAUAGAGCUUGAGUUAUUGCAAAAAUACUUCAAAAUUUUGAUCUUAUUCCAUUAAACUUUUGAGGCAUACUAAUCCUUGUCCCUGACAUAUUUAUAGAAGCAAAACUCCCUGGAUUUGGUUGUGAGGUUGAUCUACUUGCUUUCUUAAAUUGCAUAAUUUUUUGCCACAGUCUCUAAAUUUCUUCUAUAGAUAUAAAAAUAUUAUUUCUAUGAUUUAUAUUAAAAAUAUAUGAGAUUUCUACUCUUAAAGUGUUGACAAGCUCAUGAAGAUCUAAAAAAAUUAAAAAUCUAUUUUCACUUCUAUUUAGAGUAGCAUCUAUAAUCUUUCCUUUCAUAGACAAUUCAAACAACUUCAAAAAAAAAAUUAGAGGAGGAUAGUAUGUAACUUCUAAUAAAAAUUUCUAUAAAGAUGGAUAAUCGACUAUCUUUAAGGAAAAGAUGAGUGUUAAAAAACAAGAUUUUUUGUUUAAAGGUAGAUAGUCUCCAACCUUCAAAAUACAAUAAUAGAAGUGAGAUAAUCUACUCAUUUUUUAAAACAAAACAAAAACAGUAUGUUAGCACUCUUGUCAAACUAUCAAGGAUAUAAAUCUCAAAGAAAAAAAAUCCUCAACAUACUCUUGUAUCACUCAAAGGAAUUGAAAAGUCACUCAAAAAUGAUAUAAUAUUGAAUUAGAAUGGAUAUUGCCAAAAACAAGAAAAAAAGAAAGUCUUGAAAUAAGACUAAAAAUUAGAAAGGCAUUGUUUUAUUAUAAAAGCUUAAAAUAUGUAAAAAUUAGUUAAAAUAUAUUAUAUAUUAAUAAAUCUAGAUGUAUAUUAGAAUAGUUAAUAGAUUAAUUUAAAAUGAGUGGAUUUAAGAAACUUUAUUUUGAGUUUUAUUUUUUUUUAUUAUAGCAUUUCAAAACAAUUAUAAGACCUAAAUAUUUACUAUAAAGCUUAGAGAAGAGAUUAGAGUCUAAAGAAGAAAAUCUUAACUAGUAGGAGGCUUAUUGGGAGGGAUGAAAGAAAGGAAUGAUUGGAUGAAGGUAAGGAAUGGGGAUCUUCAUUCCUACUUGUCGAAGGCCAUGUCCAAUCAGCUUCAAGGAGGCUACCUGAGGCCUUAUUAGGGAUUAGGAUUUUUAUUUCGAAAUAAUUUGAGCUUUGGAAACUACAAUUAAUAAUUUUAGGAUUUUGAAUACAAAUUGGGUAUAAAUUUUGUAUAAUUUGGAGUUUUUAUGAAGGAAUUAUUGGCGCUCAAAGUUAAGGUGUCAAUUUCAUAUCUACUGUCACUCUUUGGGGCAUAACAUACGUUAAUAGAGAGCAACAAAAGAUCAAAGACUAGGAUUAAAGAGAAAACUUUUUCAACUAUACUUUUCAUAUACUAUUUGAUGAAUUUGGAAUUCGGAUGAAGAAGUUAUAGAGGGUUGAAGUCAGCAUAUCCAAAUCAAAGGCAAUGAGUAAGUGAUUUUAUUCAUAGUAAUGGUUGGAGCCAUAUCUUGAGUAUCUAAACGAAUUUUGGACUCAAAUCUUUUGAAGAAAGUAUAUUAUUGUGUUAAAAAGCUAUAAAUACAAAUUUUGUGGCAAUUAAAUGCUUAAUUUCUGAGAUAUGCAAAAAAUUGCAUAUAGAUGUAAAAAACCUAGGAUUUGAAGCUAAUGUUAGGAUUUUGGUGAUAUCUUAAGAUUCGGGAUGAAUUUGUAGUUGAAAUUUUUUGUGGUAGUUUUUACAAGUAUAUCAGUACUUUAUUUAAAAUUUGAGUGUAUUUAAACAGUCCGAUUGAAAGAUAUGAGUUUUUGAAGUUUGAGAAUAAUACCUCAUAAGGAUAUUAAAGGAUUUAGAGGUUUUAUCAUAUUUUGGGUGCUUUUGGGAACUUAAAACUUAUAUCUUUGAUGUAAUAGCAUCUAAAAGUAUUAUAUAUAUCUAUAUAUAUAUAAAAUGGGUCUUCUUUAUCUCAAGACUUGAUUAAAUUAGUGGCAUCCAGGAACCUAGUGCUUUCUUGAGGCAAACUCUCUCUAUUCCAAUAGUAUUGAAAAGAGUGAAGAAGGCUUCACUAUUGCCUCCAUAUAUACUCUUUAACUAGGAGCUAUGUGGUAAUAUUCUAUAGGACCUCCAACAUGUAUUGACUUUAUUAGCCACAUGUCUUAACUUGUAAGACAAGUUAUUUAUGUAUAUACCACAUAAUUGGCUUGUUUCACAAGCUAUUAUAUGGAAUUAACUUGUUCCACAAGCUAUCAAUAUGUUGUUGUGAUGUAAUAUGACUAAUAGGUGAAAGAGUGAAAAUUAUUAUAAUAUAGGAGAUCUCAGUUUAAGAUAUUAGAGCAAAUUAUCAUAGAGAGAUAGUUAAUAGUCAAAAGGGUAGUAAAAUUAAAAAGUACUAAUAUUGUCUUUUACAAAAUGGCCUUCUACUUACUUUGUUGGAUUAUAAAUAAUACAAAAUAAAGUAGAUUAAAAAAAUAAAAAAUCUGAGCAUUUAUAGGAGAAACUUAUGAAUUUAUUUUAAUAAAAAUUAACUCAAAAAGAUGACUUUUGAUACUCGAAGAGGGCCGGUUAUCAACUUGGAUCAAAAUCAGACCCCGAGGUACAAAAUUGAGCACCUACGACAACUCUGGGAUUCUUUUUGGAGAUCAGAAAGUGGAAUUUGAAAGCAAAUUAGAUAGGAUUUCUAUAAGAAUUAUUUUUGUAUAAUGGAAAUUUGUAAUGACUUUAUAAGAACUUUACAAAGUCAAGUUUUUUUUCAAAUGACUUGGAAUUUGUAAAAUAUUAUAGGAUUGAUGUUUUGGGCGAUUUUAAGAGUUUUGUAACAGAUCUACAAGUGAAAUUUUGUAGGUUAAUGAUUAUAAUUGUACUUAAUAUGUGUUGUAAAUUUUAACUAGAUCUAAUAGUCAAAUUAAGAAUUAUUGAGGUUUAAGUGGAUCAAAGUCUCAAAAAAUAGAAUUUUAGGUCUAGUGAGGGUUUUUAAGAUUUCUUAUUAUUUACUAGUUGAAUUGGAAUAAAAGUUAUGUAUUUGAAUAGUAGACUUGUUUUUCUUUAUAUAUGAGAAUUUUGAGAUUGAUUGAAUGGUUUGAUAAGAAGAAAUUGAUGUUGGAAAUUCAACAUUUAGAUUGAAAAAGAAGGUUGACUGACACUUGAGCAUAUUUUUGUGAUUAUUAUCUAUUUGAAGUUAAAAAUAUUAUCUUGCUCCUCAAAAAUUUUGAGUUCAAUCCAACAAUUGGAUUAGAAGAAAUUGAUUACUAAAGUUUUGUAAUUUUGAAGGGUAUUAACUAUUGCUACUGGAUAUUAGUUAUUAUUACUAAAUAUUGAUUUUUGCUACUCAUUAUUGGCUACUGCUUAUAGAUAUUGGUUACUACUAUUGGUUUUUGAUUACUACUACUGAUUACUCUUAUCAAAGCUGAUUAUUGUUAUUAGUUAUUUGUUAUUGUAAAUUUUCUUUUAUCUUCCAGAGCCAAAUGCCGUGUGCAUUCUAAAGCCAAAUGCCACGUAAUACAACAAUGUGGUUAACUUGUUGGCCAAGUUUCUAACUUACAAACAAAUCUAAAGUUAAAACCACAUCAAUAAAGUUUUUAAGAAUCUUUUUUAGAAGACUUCAUAAAAUUAAUCUAUAUUUAUCUACUUCUAUCUAAUUAUAUAAAUAACUAUUGAAAUAAAUAUAUAUAUCAGUGAUACAUAGUUAGUUUGUUUCACAAGCUACCAAUACGUUGUUAUGAUAUAACAAAACUAAUAGGUGAAAGAUGUGAAGAAUCUAUUAUAUUAUAAAAGAUUUUAUUUCAAAUAUUCUACCAAAUUAACAUAGAAAAUAGACAAUAGUCUAGAAGAAAGUAGAACUGAAGGUUUAAAUCCUAUUUUUUUACAAAGUAGGCUUCUAUUUACUAUGUAAGGCCAUAAAUAAGGCAAAACAAGGUAUAUUAGAAAAAUAAAGAAUAUAAGCAUAUAAAAAAAUAAAUUAGAAUUUGAUUGGAAUAAAAAAAAAUCAAAAAAAUAAAAUUGAUAUAAGAAGAGGAUCAGUUAUCAACUUGAAUCAAAAUCAGACCUUGAAGUACUAAACCAUACAUGAAUGACAACUUGGAGGUUCUUUAAUAGAUUGGAGAGUGGAAUUUCAUGGAAAACUUGAUAAGAUUUCUUUGAGCAUUGAUUUUGAAGGGAUUGAAUGUGUAAUGUAUUUGCAAGAGCUUUACAAAGUCACAAUUAUUUUGGGUGAUUCUAAAAUUUGUAAAAUAAAUAAAGUAUUAUGUUUUGGAGAAUUUUGUGAGUUUGGUAGUAGAUUUAUAGUUCAAAUUUUGAUGACUUAUGACAAUAGUUGUCUGAAGUGUAUAUUGUAAGUUUGAUCUUGAUCAAAUGGUUGAAUUGAAGACUAUUGAAUUUCAAGUAGAUUGAAGUCUUAGAAAUUGGACUUUGAGAGGUAGUUAGGAUUUCUAAAAUCUUCAGCAAUUUACUAGUUGGAUUGAAGUAAAAUAUAUGUUUAAAAAUAAUAGACUUGAUAUUUUACAUACAUGUGAAAUUUGAGAAUAAUUGAAUAAUUCAUUAAAGAGAUAUUGACACUAGUUGUUCUACAUUUAGAUUGGACUUGGAGGCCGACCAAUAUUUGAGUGGAUUUUAGGAUUUUUCUUCCAUUUGGUAAGUGUAAUUAUCUUCAAAUUUUGUAUACUUGUUGUCAAUUCAAUUAUUAAAAGGUAUGUAAAUUUUAAAGCAAGAUCAAUGAUUCAAUUGAUAGAUAUUGAGAUUUUAAAUUGUACUAGGAUUAGAAUUUAGUUUAGGAUUUAAUUUAGGAUUUAGGAUUUGUCUAGGAUUUGGUUUAGGAUUUAGAAUUUAGGAUUUGAUUUAAGAUUUGAUUUAGGAUUUAGUUUAGGAUUUAGGAUUUGUCUAGGAUUUGAUUUAGGGUAUAAGAUUUGUCUAGGAUUUGAUUUAGGAUUUAAUUUAGGAUCUAGGUUUUGAUCUAGGAUUUGAUUUAGGUUUUAGGAUUUGACUAGGAUUUAAUUUAGGAUCUGAUUUAGAGCUUAAGAUUUGUUUAAGAUUUGAUUUAGGAUUUAGGAUUUGUCCAAGGUUUGAUUUAGGAUUUGAUUUAAAAUUUAGGAUUUAUAUAGGGUUUGAUUUAGGAUUUGAUUUAGGAUCUAGGGUUCUAUCUAAGGUUUGACUUAAGGUUUAAAAUUUGUCUAAGGUUUGAUUUAUAAUUUACUUUAGGAUUUAAAAUUUGUCUAGAAUUUGAUUGAAGUUCAUUAGGAUUUUAACUAGGAUUAAAUUAGAACAAGUUGAGAUUUAUUUAAGAUAUAUUUGUGAAUAUUUUAGUAUUUUUUAUAAAUUCUUAAGAAUUCUUUUAAGAUUUAUUAUGGAUUUUCUUUCAACUUCUUUAAGAUUUCUUAUUGUUUCUUUUUUAAUUUCUUUAAUGUUUCUUUUGAAUUUAAUUAAAGCUUAUUUUGCAUUGUUAAUAUUUAAUUAGAGUUUAUUUAAUAUUCUAUUAGAAUUAGAAUUUUGUUGUUGUAAUUUCUAUUCUACCUUCCAUAGCUAGGUACUUGGUGCACUCUCAAAUAAGUCUUCACAUAAUAUGACAUCAUUUGAUAUAUGAUUAACUAAUUGAUUAAGUUUCUAUCUAAC
rnacentral:lncRNA from 1 species